GAUGAACGCUGGCGGCGUGCCUAAUACAUGCAAGUCGAACGAGGUGCCUUUGUAGCAAUACGAAGGUAUCCUAGUGGCGAACGGGUGAGUAACGCGUUGGUGACCUACCCCAAAGUGUGGGAUAACAGAUCGAAAGAUCUGCUAAUACCGCAUGUGGUCUUCGGAUUUAGAAACUGAUGACUAAAGGAGCAAUUCGCUUUGGGAGGGACCUGCGUCCCAUCAGCUAGUUGGUGAGGUAAUGGCUCACCAAGGCUACGACGGGUAGGGGACCUGAGAGGGUGGCCCCCCACAAUGGAACUGAAACACGGUCCAUACACCUACGGGUGGCAGCAGUAGGGAAUAUUGCACAAUGGGCGAAAGCCUGAUACAGCAACGCCGCGUGUGCGAUGAAGGCCUUCGGGUCGUAAAGCACUUUUCUGAGGGAUGAGCAAGGACAGUACCUCAGGAAUAAGUCUCGGCUAACUACGUGCCAGCAGCCGCGGUAAU
rnacentral:rRNA from 1 species